rnacentral:rRNA from 1 species
GCCCGACGGGGCGCAGCAGGCGCGAAAACUUUACAAUGCGGGAAACCGUGAUAAGGGAACCCCGAGUGCCUGUAUAUGCAGGCUGUCCAGGUGUCUAAAAAACACCUGAAGAAAGGGCCGGGCAAGACCGGUGCCAGCCGCCGCGGUAAUACCGGCGGCUCGAGUGGUGGCCACUUUUAUUGGGCUUAAAGCGUUCGUAGCUGGGUUGUUAAGUCUCUUGGGAAAUCUGACGGCUUAACCGUCAGGCGUCUAAGAGAUACUGGCAAUCUUGGAACCGGGAGAGGUGAGGGGUACUUCGGGGGUAGGAGUGAAAUCCUGUAAUCCUCGAGGGACCACCUGUGGCGAAGGCGCCUCACCAGAACGGCUUCGACAGUGAGGGACGAAAGCUGGGGGAGCAAACCGGAUUAGAUACCCGGGUAGUCCCAGCCGUAAACGAUGCGCGUUAGGUGUAUCGGUGACCACGAGUCACCGAGGUGCCGAAGGGAAACUGUGAAACGUGCCGCCUGGGAAGUACGGCCGCAAGG